CAGAACUGCAAAAACAAAACAAGCUAAAAAACAAUUUCUUCAUAAAUCAAAGCAUUUGUAUUAACAGUUAGCAAAAGUGGCAUUGUAAAACAAAGGGACGUCUGAGCCUCUCUAGCUCUUCCUUCAGGCAGCCUCCCGAUCUCAAGUCCCUGCUUUCUUCUCUUUCCCAGGAGUUGCCAGUGAAAGCAUCAGAGCUGGCCUUGAGCACAUGAAGUAAAGGAAGCAAACUGGGAGGGCAGAGUACGGUGGUGACCGGAACGCAGAACGUGGCGUCCACGUAAGAACGUCAGACACUUCUCACCACAGAAUAAUCAAGGCUGGUGACUUCAGAGUUUGCCCUGGGAGUUUCUGAAGAUUGGAAUUUCUUCAUGCAGCCAGAAUCUAUCACUCAAGUGGUGACUACAACAUGUGAUGAGGAGGCCCAUGGCAGGUGAAAGGCCAGCUGGAGACAAGAUCAGGCCACACGUUCACAGCUUUUGAGAUGAAGGUGCUGGUCCUUGUUCCUUCGGUGUGAAAUGUCUUCUUUGAUCUGUUUCACUUAUGUAUCCAGCUGUGGAAUCGCCAUUGACCACAGCAAAUGAGUCCAGGCGAUGAUUCUGCUCAGGAAAGUCCCGUGCACAAGACAAGGACAUCCAGUUCUGUUUUAAAACCAAGCUUGGAGUAGACCACACAGACAGCUCACCCACCCGCAUCGCCCCUGGAGCACGUCCAGCCUUCUGGUCCCUCCGUGGGUGCUUUUCUGUCUUCUAGGAAAGGAGACAAUCUAUAUGGAGAUCAGGAAGUCCCUAACGGACUCUGCCCUGACUUUAGUUCUGAGCCUAUGAGAAGCCCAUGGCUGUCAGUGAACACACAUGAUACAUCUCUGGGGUAUGUCGACUACCAGAAAAGGUACCCAGUGAGCACUACUUCUCACUAGGUUCCUCAACAUGUACAACGAUUUCCCUUGGCGUCUGCCCCCAUAGCAAUUCAAGGAAGUUG
rnacentral:lncRNA from 1 species